UGACUGCUAUACCCUUUUCACUAAAACUUAUUUUAACCCAAUUCCUCUUCACUCCUACAGUCCUACCUAUACUCUCUCCGUCCCCGCCGAAUACUGCUCCUUCCGUCACCAACGACUUCUGCUCCAUCGACGUGACCAUGACCACCACCGCCACUGUGGGCUUGGGUUUCUGGCAGUUCAUGGUGGCGGAUUUCAUUGCCGGCAUGGUCAAACACAUGGAAAUGUUCCCUGUCGACACCCUCAAGACCCGUAUGCAAAUGCUCGGCGCCACUUCUACCACCGCUUCAUCUACCCCCUAUCCGACUCAGACUUUACACCAUACCAGAGCGCCCCAAGAACGAUACCAAGGGUAGCGCCAGCAAGGACCUGUGCGACAGUGUGGUAGCCCAGAUAAACCCUAGAAUACAUAGUAAGGAUGGCCGUAGCCCAAGAUAAAGAAGCCACAAUAAACUUCCGUUUCUCCGUUGGGAAUCCAAUUCCUCUAUAUGUGAGAAAAGUAAAGUAUAUUCAGGGUCCGAGACAGGUUCAGCCCAGCACUAGCCCUAGCCCCAGCUCCAGCUCCUGCCCCAGUAGGAUGCUCGACUGGCCGACAAGCUGAGGAAAAUUAGAGACAGCGGUGGAGCUGUGGAUAAAGCCAACAUCAUGAAUCGAUCAAACUAUUUAUUGGUCCUGAGAUGUAAAUGGAAUUCUCGGAACAUUCUGCAACUGCAAGCUUCUAUUAGCUCUACAAGUACAGUGGUAGCAGCCUCUUCGGUGAGUGUUGCCUUUGCUUCCUAGCAAUUUUCCAUAGCUUCCGAACACUUUACGUAGGAGCCUUCAUCUCUGCUUCUCAAAAUGCAAACGCCCAAAGGCAACGGAAUACCCUCACACAUCUUCUGGUGGGAGCGAUCACGAAAGCAUCACAGACAUGACAGGGGAAGAACGAUUUCAUUAUGUGUUUGGCUCUAAUGGCAGAGAGUCGUUGGUGGUUGCCAUGAGUUCCUGCUGGUCGCCGAUGCCGAUGCCGCUGCCAUGAUCUCCGGUGCUCUGAAUGAUCACUGGUGGUCAAAUUCUAUUUGGGGAUGGGACUUAUUAAAUGGGCAUUUUAGUGUUUGGUUCGGUAAAUCUUUGGGAUGACAUUCUUUAGAAUGAUAAUUCUUAAUUUUUUGA